CCUACGGGGGGCAGCAGUGGGGAAUUUUGGACAAUGGGGGCAACCCUGAUCCAGCCAUGCCGCGUGCGGGAAGAAGGCCUUCGGGUUGUAAACCGCUUUUGUCAGGAGAGAAAUCUCUUGGGCUAAUACCCUGAGAGGAUGACGGUACCUGAAGAAUAAGCACCGGCUAACUACGUGCCAGCAGCCGCGUUAAUACGUAGGGUGCAAGCGUUAAUCGGAAUGUGUGCGGGUAAUGCGUGAAGAGACGGGUGAAAUCCCCGGGCUUAACCUGAGAACUGCACUUGUGACUGCAAGGCUAGAGUACGGCAGAGGGGGAUGGAAUUCCGCGUGUAGCAGUGAAAUGCGUAGAUAUGCGGAGGAACACCGAUGGCGAAGGCAGUCCCCUGGGCCUGUACUGACGCUCAUGCACGAAAGCGUGGGGAGCAAACAGGAUUAGAUACCCGUGUAGUC
rnacentral:rRNA from 1 species